rnacentral:rRNA from 1 species
GACGAACGCUGGCGGCGUGCUUAACACAUGCAAGUCGAACGAAGAGCGACGGAAGCUUGCUUCUAUCAAUCUUAGUGGCGAACGGGUGAGUAACGCGUAAUCAACCUGCCCUUCAGAGGGGGACAACAGUUGGAAACGACUGCUAAUACCGCAUACGAUCUAAUCUCGGCAUCGAGGAUGGAUGAAAGGUGGCCUCUACAUGUAAGCUAUCACUGAAGGAGGGGAUUGCGUCUGAUUAGCUAGUUGGAGGGGUAACGGCCCACCAAGGCGAUGAUCAGUAGCCGGUCUGAGAGGAUGAACGGCCACAUUGGGACUGAGACACGGCCCAGACUCCUACGGGAGGCAGCAGUGGGGAAUCUUCCGCAAUGGACGAAAGUCUGACGGAGCAACGCCGCGUGAGUGACGACGGCCUUCGGGUUGUAAAGCUCUGUUAAUCGGGACGAAAGGCCUUCUUGCGAAUAGUGAGAAGGAUUGACGGUACCGGAAUAGAAAGCCACGGCUAACUACGUG